rnacentral:lncRNA from 1 species
CUUUCUCUCUAAGGUUCACCCAUAAUUCUAAUGUUGGUGCCUUUUUCUAUUUUCCACCUACAUCCAUUCAUAAGUACUUAAGGCUAUGUUUGGAUUGAUGGUACAUAACGGAAUGGAGCGGAAUGGAAUAAGAUGGAAUGGAGCGGAGCGGGAUGGAAUGGAGCAUAAAAUGUAUUCCAUUGUUUGGACAUUUUGUAUUCCAUCCCAUACACCCCAAAUUGGAGGGGAAGAAAAAUAAGAGAAAAUGAUGGAAUGGGAUGUGAAAUUCCUGGCACACAGUGGACAGGUGUUGCUCAAGGUGUAGCAACACUUGUCUGUUGUAGACAGAUGUUGGUACUAGUGCGCCAACACUUGUCUAUAAACAGAGUAAAUAACAUAAAACAAUACAAACAGUAAAGUAAAUAACACACG